UACGAAGGGGGCUAGCGUUGCUCGGAAUCACUGGGCGUAAAGCGCACGUAGGCGGCUUUCUAAGUCAGGGGUGAAAUCCCAAGGCUCAACCUUGGAACUGCCUUUGAUACUGGGGAUCUCGAGUCCGGAAGAGGUGAGUGGAACUGCGAGUGUAGAGGUGAAAAUUCGUAGAUAUUCGCAAGAACACCAGUGGCGAAGGCGGCUCACUGGUCCGGUACUGACGCUGAGGUGACGAAAGCGU
rnacentral:rRNA from 1 species